GCAAUGAUUUGUUGUCAUUUGACUGUGUCUUGCUAUAUUCCUCAGUUAAUUCUCACCGUUAGACACUCACCUUAUCAUUUAAUAAUAUGAUCGUGAACGAACUCAUCAACCCAGUCGUCCAUUUUGCCUGACAAUACCUGACAAGCGCAUGCGCGAAGGCUAACUCGAUAUUUGGUUACUUGUAACAAUGACUAUGAUUGGUCGUUUAUUGAAUUCGUUGACACAAUAACCAAUCAUGAUGAGUGUUUUACGGUGUAGUUAAAAAGACAAGCUCCUUUUUGCCUGUUGGCAUAGUUUGUAGCCGUUGGUUAUUUAUUUGUUAUGGUCCAUGAUUUUUAAUACAUACUGACAUUAUCAUGACUUUGUGACAUAGAAACCAUGGAUAUUAUUGUGAGUAAGAAAGCCACGGAAAUCAUAGUUGCUUUGUUCCUAGCAGCUUUGGUGCUUUUCGCAUGGGGAUGUGUGAUAUAUGCUGGUAGGUUUGCCGCAUACCAGACGUAUCCAGAAUUAGCAGAGCCUCCGGAAUGGUAAAACUAUCCACAGAUACUGUUGACGAUGAUGGAACAGCUUAUUAUUUCUGAGAAAAUGGAAUUUAAGAGAUGAGCUUGGAGAUAAUGUACAGAUUUAGUAUCCACUGUGCUGCUGCUACAAUGGGACAUACUAAGCCAUCAUAUACGGUGAACACUUGAAACUUACAAAUAGUCCACAAUAUGUCAAGAGAUAAUCCCUGCAUCUGCAUCAACCACUCAUUAAUUGGUUAUUAUAUAUUACAAAAUAUGUGAGCUACCAGUUACAACCAUAUCGGUUUACAUUCUGCAUAAAGACAGACUAUCUAGUGUGGGUCAUGGAAAUAAACACAAUCCCAUUUACAAUGUCACAUGACCAAGAGUGGUAUAACUGUAUUUAAAUUCAAGGUGUUCUUAAAAACUUAUGAACUACAUGUACACCAUACAUUUUAUACCAGUAAUGUACCUUUUAAUUAACGCCAGAGCAUGAUAGAGCACAAAAACCUAUAAUUUUGAAUAAGCAAGAGCUCAAUUCCUUAUCAAUAAACCCAAUACAUUAUGCAAUUC